GUGAUGGCCCAAAGCCGAGCUGGAGUUUGGUCCUGAGCCAAGCUGGUAACACUCCCUGCUGAAGAUAAGAUGGGUCUGACCCCGCGUGUUCAGGCAGCAAAUAUUUACUGAGCGCCUUUCGGUGCCAGGCUCCAGGCUGGGGAGUCAGAAGUAGGAUGGAUGGAGAGGCAGGGAGAAAGUCAUCUGAGUCCUGCCUUCCCACGGGUGGCCGUGGGGACAGAUGAGCAAAAGGCAGAAAACCAAGGUGACGCUGGAGAGACCACGGUUGAAGACAAGACCACAGUGGGGGUGAUACUGAGGGCCCUGAAGUGUCUGGAACAGACACAUCUGUAGAGACAGAAGGUGGCUUAGUGAUUACCAGGAGCUGGGGGACACAGUAUAACCGGGGGAGACUGGUGAACGGGUACAGGGUCGCCUUUAGGGAUCGGAAAAGAGAAAGAUUUCCUAUGGGGAGGUUUAGGGGAAGUGGAGCCCAGGUCAAGGUGCAGCCCGGAUAAAGGCUGGAGGUAGGGCCAGGAGCUGUGGUGAGGGGGCCUGGGUGGAGAUCUGCCCAGAUGGUGUCCCCGAAUCCCCAGCCCUGCGUGUGGCACGAGUCCCUUCUCAUCAGUGCCUUUUUACUUCUUCCAUUUCCUCCAAUGGGGCUGAAUUUGCAUUAUUGGGUUAUUUAUUUUUAGAACUCCCACCUCUUCUUCCAGAGUUUCUCCUGGUGCAAGCUGAGGGUGCCACCCCCACCCCCACGACCUUCGAAGGUCAAAGAGUUUCCUCCUUGGGGCCGGGCUUCUCAGAAAAGCCACCUCCGCGGUGCUCAGGUUAUGAAAUGCCCCCUCCACUGCCCAGGCUCUCCUCGCUGGAAUCACGGUGCAAUCCAUGGGGAAGAGUCGCUGGGCUGCACGCAGAGGAGUCAGCCAUGAGACUCGUUCACCCUCCCACGCCCCCGUUUGACAGAGAAGAAACCUGAGAUUCCAAGAGAAACUGAUUUUGUGGCUCUGAAACCUGGUUCUUUCCUCUGCACCUGCUGGCCAAGAUCUCAACUUCUGGAAGAGGACACGUUAAGGACUUCAGAUGUACCCCACGAUCUGAACAAUUAUAUUUUUAUUUCAAAAUGAUGUUAUCACAACCCAAAUAGUGA
rnacentral:lncRNA from 1 species